CCUACGGGAGGCAGCAGUGAGGAAUAUUGGUCAAUGGCCGAGAGGCUGAACCAGCCAAGUCGCGUGAGGGAAGACGGCCCUACGGGUUGUAAACCUCUUUUGUCGGGGAGUAAAGCGAACCACGUGUGGCUCAUUGAGAGUACCCGAAGAAAAAGCAUCGGCUAACUCCGUGCCAGCAGCCGCGGUAAUACGGAGGAUGCGAGCGUUAUCCGGAUUUAUUGGGUUUAAAGGGUGGGCAGGGGGAGGUUCAAGUAAGCGGUAAAAUUGCGGGGCUAAACCCAGUACUGCCGUUGAAACUGGAUGCCUUGAGUGCGGGAGAAGUAUGCGGAAUGCGUGGUGUAGCGGUGAAAUGCAUAGAUAUCACGCAGAACUCCGAUUGCGAAGGCAGCAUACCAACGCGCAACUGACGCUGAUGCACGAAAGCGUGGGUAUCGAACAGGAUUAGAUACCCCAGUAGUC
rnacentral:rRNA from 1 species